rnacentral:rRNA from 1 species
GUGUCAGCCGCCGCGGUAAGACGAACCGUGCGAACGUUGUUCGGAAUCACUGGGCUUAAAGGGCGCGUAGGCGGCGCAGCGAGUCCGGGGUGAAAUCCUCCGGCCCAACCGGAGACGGGCCUCGGAGACCGCUGCGCUCGAGGGGGGCAGGGGCAGGUGGAACUUCCGGUGGAGCGGUGAAAUGCGUUGAGAUCGGAAGGAACGCCGGCGGCGAAAGCGACCUGCUGGGCCCUCUCUGACGCUGAGGCGCGAAAGCCAGGGGAGCGAACGGGAUUAGAUACCCCGGUAGUCC